rnacentral:rRNA from 1 species
GCAGCUACCAUGCAGUCGAGGGGCAGCGGGGAAAAGCUUGCUUUUCCGCCGGCGACCGGCGCACGGGUGCGCACCGCGUAUGGAACCUGCCUUGUACAGGGGAAUAGCCCAGGGAAACUUGGAUUAAUGCCCCGUAGUACCGUAUUUCGGCAUCGUUAUACGGUUAAAGCCUUCGGGCGGUACAAGAUGGCCAUGCGUCCCAUUAGCUAGAUGGUAAGGUAACGGCUUACCAUGGCUACGAUGGGUAGGGGCCCUGAGAGGGGGAUCCCCCACACUGGUACUGAGACACGGACCAGACUCCUACGGGAGGCAGCAGUGAGGAAUAUUGGACAAUGGAGGAGACUCUGAUCCAGCCAUGCCGCGUGCAGGAAGAAUGCCCUAUGGGUAGUAAACUGCUUUUAUACGGGAAGAAAAAGAGCUACGUGUAGCUUACUGACGGUACCGUAAGAAUAAGGACCGGCUAACUCCGUGCCAGCAGCCGCGGUAAUACGGAGGGUCCGAGCGUUAUCCGGAAUUAUUGGGUUUAAAGGGUCCGUAGGCGGGCCGAUAAGUCAGGGGUGAAAGUCUGCCGCUCAACGGUAGAACUGCCUUUGAUACUGUCGGUCUUGAGUUAUAGUGAAGUUGCCGGAAUAUGUAGUGUAGCGGUGAAAUGCAUAGAUAUUACAUAGAACACCGAUUGCGAAGGCAGGUGACUAACUAUAUACUGACGCUGAUGGACGAAAGCGUGGGGAGCGAACAGGAUUAGAUACCCUGGUAGUCCACGCCGUAAACGAUGGAUACUAGCUGUCCGGAACCUUGAGUUCUGGGCGGCCAAGCGAAAGUGAUAAGUAUCCCACCUGGGGAGUACGUUCGCAAGAAUGAAACUCAAAGGAAUUGACGGGGGCCCGCACAAGCGGUGGAGCAUGUGGUUUAAUUCGAUGAUACGCGAGGAACCUUACCAGGGCUUAAAUGCAUAUUGACAGGGUCAGAGAUGACUUUUCCUUCGGGCAAUUUGCAAGGUGCUGCAUGGGUUGUCGUCAGCUCGUGCCGUGAGGUGUCAGGUUAAGUCCUAUAACGAGCGCAAA